GGCCGACUAGCUCAAUGGUAGAGCAGUUGACUCUUAAUCAAUUGGUUCGCGGUUCGAGCCCGCGGUCGGUCA
rnacentral:tRNA from 1 species